UCCAUGUACUCCUGAUAUGAUCUUGACAAAACUUCAGCUCGAAUUUCGAUUCACGAUCAGGAUUAAAUCAUUUUACGCAUCUCUAUCUUUCCCCUCUCUCUCAGCCGCGAGGAACCUUUGGAAGAAGAUCUCAAAACAAACAGAUCUGUACAAUUAGUUAAAUGAACGUCGACAUACACUAAUGGAAGAAUUUGCUAAGGAGUAUAUGCAUGGAAAUAAUGCUCCUGAACUUGAAGGGGAGAACUGACUGGGGAAGCUGGUGUUGAUGACGACGGUGAAGUUCCUGACAUCUCUAAAUGAGAAUGUAUAAUAUGGCUUGCAAUUUUGACAGCUUAAGUGGAUCUCAGUCCUCUGUGAAUACCUGGUUCAAGUGACAAGGUAAACCAUUUUUAUUUCACUAUAUAAGAUGUACUUAUUUGUACACCAGUUUUACGCGGUGUACUUUUUAGUGCACCAGUUUUAUCAUACUAGUUGUAUGUCGUGCACUUUGUUUCUGCAUUGAUUAUGUUCUAGAAAUUAUGAAACUAGUAUUUGCAUUCGAACUUAUCUACUACAGUGAUCUUAUGACAUUCAAGGGUUUUGUUAUGUAUUUUUUGCUUUUGGAUACGUAUUACAAAAUUUUAAAUUUUUAUACAGUGGAUUUUUUGAUUUUAGCACAAUUUAGUAGAACUGUAGAAUGGAUAAAUGAUGUUUGUGCUAUAUUGGGCUUUCUAUAAUGUUUGUUAAAUGGUAUUGUUGUCGUGCUUUUGCACCACUAAGACGUGGGUGACUUUUUAAUGAUUUCAAUGUUGUUUUUGCUAUCGGAAUCAAUUUGUCGAAACCAUGACUCAAAGAUGGUUCUAUUGCAAGCGAUUGCUCAUCGUUUUUUAAUCCCGGGGACAUGUACGUACUACCUAAAGAUGAUCGAGAAGAAUAAGCAAUUCAACUGUUCUGGCGAGCAUUAAUGCUUGCAGUCUCCUGAAAGCUUGAGAAAGGCUCUUAGGGAGAUCAGUUCCAUGUACGCCAAACAAGAGACUUUCUCAAGAUUUACAGAGAUGGAACCUGCAACUGUUGAGAAAUGUUGUGGAUUUUCAAAGCAAUGGUUUGACACUUGGCUUGCAGGGUGUAAUGAAGGUCAAAGAUGAUAGAUAGUCCCCAACUUAUGUUGCUAUGCUUGCAGCCCAAGAUGCUGCAACACAGUGUAAGAAGAUGGAUAGCGUGAACGACGUUUUGGUAUAUUUGUUCGGAACCCCUUAUGGAUAUGUUGCAUGUUAUGUGGGCCUGAAUGUUGGAUUUUCUGGAUUUUUACAACGGUGUACAUAGUUGUACACAACAGUGUAAAUUAGAAUUCUACAAAAAUGAAAAUUACGUAGUCAUAUGGGUACUCUUUUUGUAGAUUUCGGAAAGAGCUUUCCAAAUAUCUAAAGUUUGUGAAUU